GAAAAAAGACACGCAGAGACACUGGAAAAUUGAAGAAGUUGCGCAGCUUUGGCUGCUCCUUCACAAAAACACAUGCCUGGAAAACAGAGAGAACACCCAUAUCCCAUUUCAUUUCGUGAAAAUCAGAGUCUCGAUCCUCUCCUGUCCAUCGGCGCCCUCUACCUUUCAUUUGAGAGCAAUCGCUGGCCCAUUUUGCGUUUCCC
rnacentral:lncRNA from 1 species